UACGGAGGUGCAAGCGUUAUCCGGAUUCACUGGGUUAAAGGGUGCGUAGGCGGGUUGGUAAGUCCGUGGUGAAAUCCCAAGCUUAACUUGGGAACUGCCGUGGAUACUAUCAAUCUUGAAUAUCGUGGAGGUAAGCGGGAAUAUGUCAUGUAGCGGUGAAAUGCUUAGAUAUGACAUAGAACACCAAUUGCGUAGGCAGCUUACUACACGAUCAUUGACGUGAGGCACGAAAAGCCGUGGGGGAG
rnacentral:rRNA from 1 species